AAGGAGUGAUAAACUAGAUAUGCGUAAUUGUGGAAAUUUGUCGCACAGCUGAAUACUCCCUAAGUGUAAUAUAUAGUUAGCCAAAUUAAAUUAAACUAAAUGGAAAACUCUGAUAACUACUUGUGUUUGGUGUAUAAAACUUCGAAGUUGCUUAUCUCUUUACAAUGCCUCUAUAGAUUUUUUGUUUAUGGUCUUAUAGCUGAGGCUACCUUUAAAGAUGUGCGACCAAGAGCAACUUUGGUAAAAAAUUUACUGAAGGAUGAAGUUGUAUGAGAUUUCG